AGUGAACGCUGGCGGUAGGCCUAACACAUGCAAGUCGAACGGCAGCACAGUAAGAGCUUGCUCUUACGGGUGGCGAGUGGCGGACGGGUGAGUAAUACAUCGGAAUCUACUUUUUCGUGGGGGAUAACGUAGGGAAACUUACGCUAAUACCGCAUACGACCUACGGGUGAAAGCAGGGGAUCUUCGGACCUUGCGCGAUUGUAUGAGCCGAUGUCGGAUUAGCUAGUUGGCGGGGUAAAGGCCCACCAAGGCGACGAUCCGUAGCUGGUCUGAGAGGGUGGUCAGACAGACUGGAAGUGAGACAGGGUAGAGAGACUGAAGGGGGGAAGCAGUGGAGAAUAUUAGGCAAUGGGGGAGUGAGGGAUCUAGCAAAACCGGGGAAGGGAAGAAGGAGUAAGGGUGGGAGAAGGAUGAAGGUGGGCAAGAAGAGAAGUAGGUUAAUGAGUGAAGAAUAUGACGGUAACCAAUGAAUAAGCACCGGCUAACUUCGUG
rnacentral:rRNA from 1 species